UGGCUCCUCCCCCUCAGCCCGGCUGAGGGGCUCUAACGCGGAACCUGAGGGUGACAAGCGGUCUGACAGGUGACAAAACCUGAGCGACCCUGGCGUUCUCGGAGUGCAUAAGCUGAGAUGUUUGGCCUUGUUAAGGGCUGUGGCAGAAAUCCGGUUAUGUUAUCAGAAACACACGACACGCUGAAUGUCAUUUAGCUGUGAGGUAAUCCAGAUCUCCUUCGGAUUGUUUAUAUGCAUCUACGAAGAUUAUUCCUGAUUCUUUGGAGUAUGGACUUUUUGGUCACAAAUUUGCCAGCAUAAGCCCAUCUCCAGGGGGGCCUCGUGGUCCUGGCAUUCCUUGAAUACCUUGUUCUCCCUAAUGAUAAUCCAGGAUCCCAUGGACAUGCUAUUUCUUGGUACUAGUGCUGCCUGAGAAGGUGCUCCACCACUGCUUUUCUCUGGACCCUGUCUUCCUGUCAAUGGAAACUGUAUCUCAGGGACCAAUAAGUCACAAUGUGCAGCACUAGGAGAUGGAAUGUGGAUGGUACCUUUGGUCCAGGCACAGAUCUUCCAGGAGGGCCUGGCAUUCCAAGGCGUCCUGGUGCACCAGGCUCCCCCUGCAGUGAAGGUAGGAGAGAAAAAACAAUGGAUUUUUCUGAAAGUGAGCAUGACUAUCACAUAGAGAAAAUAUUUAUGCAACAUUUUACAUUUAAUUCCAUUAAAAUUCUAUUAGAAUUUCUAAUAAGCUAUUCUAUGCAGAGAUCAAUCUAACUAUUUGGAGAACUGAUAACAAACAUAUUUUGUUUUCUCCGUGGAAAAGAGAUUUUUCUCGGUCACUAAACAAACAUUUUUGAAGCUUUUAGAAGUCCCUUUCUUGGUGUAUUCAAGACUUGGUCCAUCACAUACUGUGCUCAAGACUCUCUGCCCAGUUGUGUAGGUAUACUGAAAACAUUUAUACAUUUCUCUUAGAGUAGAUUUUUAAAAAAUUAUCUUUCAGUUUACUUUUUUACCUCUUUUUCAUUUUUGUGGAAAUACUCGUGUGUAUAAAUAAUAGAAGAAUAAGAAACUGGAGGAGAAACCUGGAGUAGCUCUUCUCUCACUUUCAGUUUGGGUGUCAGGGAGAACAGUAGCAAUGCUUGGGGUGAAGCAGACAGACUGCAGAGAGAGAUGAACCAACCUUUUGUCCAGGGGCUCCAUCUUCUCCUGGAAGACCAGGCAGACCUGCUAGUCCUGAAGGCCCUGGAUCACCCUGACACCAGUAAAAACCCCUGUCACAAAUCCCUAACAAAUAAGAACAAAACCAGGACAGCCUUGUUCCUUUCCACUGUCACAAAAGUACUUUUUCAUCGAUUCCCCUAUUCUGUGUUAAUCUGGCUGUUAAUGGCAUAGGGACUGGCUGCUAUCUUGGGCACUUCAGCACUGAAAUAACCUGGUUACAGCUUCCUCUCCUCUAAGCAACUCAACUGUUCUUUCUGUCCACCAGCACAGCUUGUUUCUUUUAUGAAGAUGUGAGGACUUAGCUGUUCUGUUUCCACCAUAUUCUGUGUGGAAAGGGAAGGAGCAUCACAAUAACCACUGUUCAGGGCUUUUUUUCACCUCUCUGGCUACAGUGUAGCUUACACUUGGGACUGCGAGUUCUGGCAGCUGUUUCAUAUUCUGGAUGGUUUUCUGUACAGAGCUGUAGGUGAUCUGUGUGCAAUGAUGACUGGAGCAUGAGCCAGGCAGGUGGAAAUUUCCAGUCACCAUAAUUUUUACUAUUUUUUUUACAGAACAGGGGUAUUUAAAAUGCUGCCAUAUGGAGGUUAUUGAAAGUCUGUGUUAAAAAUUCAAAAGACGAAGAACCUAAAAUAAAUAUAGGUAAAUAUAAAUAUAAGAAAUAAACAGGUUUAUUUCUAAACCUGUUUUUAUGUGGCUUCUGAAAGCAUACUCAGGAAAUAUAAAUUUAUAAUCCAAAUGAAUAAAUAGAUUAAAUAAUUCCUCUAUUAACAAUGUACCUUAGAACCAGGUUCUCCAAUACCUCUUUCUCCUGGCACGCCAGUCUCUCCUGGUAAGCCUUGUUCACCCUUAAGCAGAUAUUAGUUUUUAACAGCAUUAUUAUGAAAAAUAUAAAAACAUAUGCUUCAUUGCUUAAAUUUUAAGAAAGAUUAAUGUAAUAUUGCUUGUAGUAAGUGUUAAAAACCCUUGGUCACAAAGAUUGGCAAUUUGCCACAUGUUUUGAGCUGUCACCAAAGAGCUGUUGGUGGAAAUUAUUCGUGCUCUAAAUCUACACUUGUAUGUCCCCAGGAAUCUUUCCUGCCAAAGAGCUGAUAUUUCAGGAGCAUAUAUGACAUCCAAAGACAAUUUUUUUUAAAAACUUUUUAGCAGUAGUAAUCAUAUCCAUGCACAGUCACUUAAAGUGCAAGAGGUGAUACUUAAUCCUGCAAAGUUCUUUACUUGUCACGGACACUUGACCACUUCCACCACUAGUUUCUUCAUACCAUGCUUUAAUAGCCUUCAGUCAUUCAGAACUUUGUCACAUCUUUCAGAAAAUUACUUUAAAUCUCCAUUCCAAACACCUCUAGGGUGAUGUCUUUCAUUAACUGUUCUCUAUUUUGUGAAUCAGUUAAGGCUAAAUUAUUCUGACAGUUUUUCUUCUGAAAAAAGUAGUUUUCCUUACACCUUGGACCAGUCUUAACAUCUAGAUACAGUGGAUACACAAAUUCCAGUGAGACAAUAGGCAGCAGAAGUUGCAAGGAAGGCAAUCAAUAUCUAAUGUAUCUUUGUAUGUAUUUUUCUGGAAUGGAAACAGUACAGUGAGAAUAAAAGAUGAUAUAGAAAUUGAGAUGGUCUUCUCUUUCAAGUGCAACUAGUUU